UUCCCUCUGUUUGGAGGAUAAUGCACAUAAGUGGAAGAAUGUGGUCCAUUGUCGUAUUGCUAAUGAAUCUACUAUAUCUAAUAAACAUCAUUCUUGCACUCAUGUUAUUGAUCUGAUGAAUAGGAUUAGUCUUCUUCCUACCAUCACUGAGGUUGGUCUCUUCUAUCUUUAGUUGAUUUAAAGUUUAUUGUAAAUUUGCCUACUAAUCUGAAUGACCCUGGUGCUGCGGAGUAUCAAAAAGUGCAUGUUCGUGGUUUAUGUUUCAACAUCUCUUAUGCUCUUCUCAAUGCUUGCUGAUUUUUUAGUAGUUCUUUCGUCUCCUGGGCAAUUGGCUUUGGAGCUAUCUUGUGACACUCUACGUUCUUGGCCUACCGAUGGUCAAUUGCCUACUGUUAAGCUUAGUGUUAAAGAUGCCAUUUUGCAAAAAAAUUGGCAUUUCUAAUUGGUACCCAUUCUCUCAUGUAUCCACUAUCACUACCAUUCUUGCCAAUUUAAUCUUUUUGGUUGGUACUGGUUCCAAGGUGGAUGUUGGUGACUUUAUAUUUCGACUGUGUGUUGCGGCAUGUGGUUACGUUUGGUAUCAACAUCUCUAUUCUUUUCCUUCGACUUUUGUGUGAGUUUUUGCUAUCCUAACAUUUGUCCUUUCUCAAUGAAACUGACAUUGCUGGUCCAACUCUCAAAGUUUUAUCUCUCAGUUUUAUCAGUAGUUUCAAUGGUCCCAUGUGCCUGAUCUUCAUGCCAGUUUUCGUCCUCCUCGGUCUGAACCUCAGUUGUUUAUUGCUGAUAUGAGAAUUUCAUCUAUUGGGUUAGUGUUAUCUUAUAAAUUGGCGUCUUGUGUGGUUUAGCUGCUCUCUGAUGAAUCUUGGACUCUUAGUGUUUCUAUACAGUUUAUAAGGAGUGGACAAUGAUCUGUUUGGUAGACGAUUUCUGUUGAUUCUAUGCCUCAUGUUUUUCAUUUCUUAAUUGUUGAGUCUUAGAAGAGGCCUUCUGAUUCUUCUGGUCCUGCUUCUUAGUUUAUUUGUCAGCCAACAAGGGGGAGUUUUUUUUGUUUUUGUUUGGUUCCUUGCUUUAUUUUGUGUGAAGUUUGUUAUUUUGAUCUCAAUACAGCAGAACAAUUCUAUUUUUUUUUCUUGCUUCUUAUUCAGGGUGUUGAUUUAGUCUUUUGGAAUGAAAUGAGAAAUGGUGUUAUGGUUUCUGGUUGGUUUCUUCAAUUUCUCUGUUUGUUGUAUGUUGUUUUAUUCUGUGCUCUGACUAUUCUUCUCUCUAUUUGUGGUUGUGAUUGGUUGGUGUACUUGUCUAAACAAAUAAAGGAAGAUGGUCCUAAGGGGGAGUUUGUUGUGUGGUGAUCCCACUUUCUGAUAUUUAUUUAUUAUUAUAUUUUGAGAAAAUAUCUUUGUUUUGACUACGUUUGUUAAGAUUGUUUCUGGUUGUUGAGAUUUGUUUCUACUUUUGUGGGUAAUUGGUUGUUUCUCGGGCAUUGGGUUUUUAUCUUUCUGUGUUAUGGUUCCUUUGGGUGUGCAGAAAAAUAAGGGUUUCAGGUGAUUGAGUGAUAUGAAAAGAAGAUGAAAAAGCUUAAGAGUGUAAUUGUUCUUGUGGGUAAGUUGAAGAUGUUGAAAAAGCUUUUCUAAAUUAGAAUUAGUAUUGUGUGAUUCGAGAUUGUUGAAGAUCAAAUGCAACUUAGCUAGGUCAAUUGCUAAAAGUGAUUAUAGAUUAAGGGGGAGGUAUUCCUUUAUGAUGUUUAUAAUGAAUACUAGUGCUUAGUUUUACUGUUUCAUAAGUCAGUAAGAAAGAGUCAUUAAAGUACACAAUGGUGAAAAUGUGUUGUGAAUUCUAUACUAAUAGUCAUAAGUCUGUAAUUAUGAAUCAUAUCACAAAGCAAUACAAAAUCUCUUAUCAUGGGUCAAGGACCCCUAGAUGUAGAUGUUGUGUCAUCGAACUGGGUUAACAAUGUCUAGUGUUACUUCUGUUAUAUCUACUUAUUCACUACUAGAAAAAUGGACUUUUUCUUGACGUUUGUGAUUUUAAGUACUUGAUGAGUUAAAAAAAAACGUCAAGAAAUUGGUGAUUUCAAAGAUAAAAUGUCGAACUUUAUGAAAAGCCGGAGGUGGGCCAAUUUUCAGCUUUUUUAAACAUUUUUUAAAUGUAAGUGAUAAGUACUUUUUCUUGACGUUUCAAAAAUGUCAAGUAAUAUCUUUUGUUUUCUAGACAUUUUCAAAAACAUAAAAAAAAUAUUACGAAAAGGUGGAGGUGGGGUAAUUUUUAUGAAAAGUUUUUCACUAUGAAACAUUUCUUGAUGUUUAAAAAAUGCAAGUGCUAUGUAUCUUUACUUGACGUUUUUAAAACAUCAAGUAAUAUCUAUUAAAUUCUUGACCUAAAACAUCAAGAAUUUUUAUAAAAAAGUGGAGGUGGCCGAAUUUUCAAAAAAUUUUCACAUAGCGACAUUUGUUGACGUUUUUAAACACAUCAAGUGCUAUCUAUGUUUACUUGACGUUUGAAAAACAUCAAGAAUACUAGGAAAAUAUAAAUGAUGUUUUAAUAUUAAAAAUUUAGGUCUCCAAAAUUAAUUUCUCUCCUUUUUGGUGUUGGUGAAUGCUUGGAGAGCAUCUAUGAUAGUUUAACAGAUUUUGCUGCCAAGGAACUGGCCAGCUUAAAGAACCUAAAGGUUAAUUAGUUCAACGUGGAAAAUGUUAUAGAAAUUCUGGUGCAGGUUGUGGAAUCUCCAAGUUUGUAUUUGAAGCCAAGUUCAUCCAAGGUCAUUGAGUUUCAAGGCUUCUUUGAUUAAGUUUGUGCUUUUUGAACUAGAAUUAUAAUCUUGUGAUUUUUGGAAUAGCAUAGUUGGAUUAGUUUUAUAAUUUUGGAAUUAUCAUGUUAGGUUGGAGUUGAUGGAAGUAAUGUUUUGUAUAUGACAAUAUUGAACAAAUAUGUAAGGUUUCAAAA